rnacentral:rRNA from 1 species
UACGGGGGGAGCAAGCGUUGUUCGGAUUUACUGGGCGUAAAGGGCGUGUAGGCGGCCAGCCCAAGUCAGUUGUGAAAUCUCCGAGCUUAACUCGGAACGGUCAACUGAUACUGUGCGGCUAGAGUGCGGAAGGGGCAACUGGAAUUCUUGGUGUAGCGGUGAAAUGCGUAGAUAUCAAGAGGAACACCUGCGGCGAAGGCGGGUUGCUGGGCCGACACUGACGCUGAGGCGCGAAAGCUAGGGGAGCGAACGGG